rnacentral:rRNA from 1 species
GACAAACAGAUCAAAUCAAGAUUUUGUUCAGUAUAAAAGGGGGUUAAGGAGUAAGUUACUAAAAUGUGUUGGAAGGCUUGAUUCUUUUAUAGAGGUGGAAUUUGUAUAGGAGGGUUAGGUUUAUUAGUCUUCUUGUUUUUGAUGCCCCGAAAGUUUAGUAUAAGACCGGGAUUAGAUACCCCGUUAUUUAUUUUGUAAACGUUGAUUAAGGUUUAAUUUACUUGGGUAUUACGGGCUGUUCAGGGUUAUGGUUAAACUUGAACAAAGUGCUUAAAACUCAAAAAACUUGGCGGUGCCUUAUUUCCUUCCAGGGGAACCUGUCCUGUAAUCGAUGGUCCACGGUUUAGCUUACCUUUUUUUGUAUUUUUCGGUCUUUGCGUAAGAAGUUUGACAGUUUGUAUACCGUCGUCGUCAGAUUACCUUUGAGAGUAGUAGAAGUUGUCGAGAGAGAAGUAAGAUUUUUGUAUUUAGCUUAUUUGUUUAUGUUGAAUGGAAUUUACAUAUCUUUGAUGUCAGAUCAAGGUGCAGCUUAUAAAAAGGAAGAGAUGGGUUACAAUAUAUAUUAAAUAUACGGAUUUUGUUUUGUAAUAGAUAGUUGAAGGUGGACUUGGGAGUAAUAUGCGGAAAUUAAAGUAUGAGUAGUGAGCUUAUGUGAAUUUUGGUACUAAGGUGUGU